rnacentral:misc_RNA from 1 species
GCCGCAAGAACUUGUAUCAAACCCUUUUAACUUUUGUACAAUUCCUUAUGUUUUGGUACAUUGGAAUGUUUUGGACGGAAUUGCCAGACAUUGUAUCUGAUCUUCUAAGGAGAUAUCACUUGAGUGUCUAUUUGGAUGAACAGCUGAAAUUUACAUUUUGGCAUUUGAACUCCCAACAAAUGGGUUGGAGUAUUUGGUAAACAUAUAGAUUGGAGCAGCAUUUGAUAAUUCCG